rnacentral:rRNA from 1 species
CANCGAGCGCANNCCUUNUCCUUGUUNGCCAGCGAGUAAUGUCGGGANCUCCAGGGAGACUGCCGGUGAUAAACCGGAGGAAGGUGGGGACGACGUCAAGUCAUCAUGGCCCUUACGAGUAGGGCUACACACGUGCUACAAUGGCGCAUACAGAGGGCAGCAAGCUAGCGAUAGUGAGCGAAUCCCAAAAAGUGCGUCGUAGUCCGGAUUGGAGUCUGCAACUNGCUCCAUGAAGUCGGAAUCGCUAGUAAUCGUGGAUCAGAAUGCCACGGUGAAUCGUUCCGGGCCU